rnacentral:rRNA from 1 species
UACGGAAGGGGCAAGCGUUGUUCGGAAUCAUUGGGCGUAAAGGGCGCGUAGGUGGUUCUGUAUGUCUACCGUGAAAGCGAUACGGCUCAACCGUAAUUUGUCGGUGGAACUGCAGGACUUGAGGCUGGGAGGGGCUGGUGGAAUUCCCUGUGUAGCGGUGAAAUGCGUAGAGAUGGGGGAGAACACUCGUGGCGAAGGCGGCCAGCUAGACCAGUUCUGACAUGAGGCGCGAACAGCCGUGGGGGAGCAAAACAG